UUUAAAUGUUUUCGAUAAAGUUUGAUUUUUAAAGGAAUUAUAUUGUGGUUAACAGUUUUGGUGUUUUGUUUGAAUUUGAGUCCGAUACGAUCCAGUUUGCCGAAAGUAUGCUUUGAUAGCUAUUCUUUUAAUUUAAUAAGAGUUUAAUUUAAUAAGAGUAGUAAUCCUGAAGAAGCUGAACUCUGGGAUGGCACCGAUUGUAUACCGCGCAAUAAUGACAGUGCAUUAAAACCGAUAACCGGUUCAGAGAAUUGUCUGUACUUGAACAUAUAUCGCCCAUUGCAGCGUGCCGAUGGGAAAUUGCCAGUAAUGUUUUACAUACCAGCUUAUCGCUUGGGUCCAUUUGUUUUGCUCACCUAACGGUUGUUAGGGUUAUACUUAUAUAUCAAAAUGAUCAAUAUGUCUACCAAAGCUACAUAAACCAAAUUUAUAGGGGCUAUUUCCCAUCAUGCGUCUAUAAAAUGGGUGAAAUCGGAUAAUAAUCAUGAUUACGGAUUUAUUGGUAACAGAAUAUAUGGACGGUAGAUACGAAUUGAAUGAUUAUACAUUGAAUGGCUUUUUGAAGCGAGUAAUAUCAAUUCUUCACGCGAUGAUUUUAGAGGAAUAAUAAGUUUUGACUACCGCGGGUCUUAUACAUAUUCGAAAAUAUACUCAAAUAGCUUAAAAGAUUUCGGCACUGCACACAUAGAUGAUUUGUUAUUCCUGUUUGAAGGACCACGAGGAGUAUCACAUCGCUACCCAAAGAGGUCUCCUGAGGCAGCUUUGGUUAAACGUUAUGUACGCCUGUUUCAGACUUUUGCCUCAACUGGUCAUACUGGUAUCCAAGAAUGUAACGAUUUUCCAAAUAAUUGCAAUUAUUUGUCGAUAGUGGAUGAUGAUGAACCAUUCCAAACUGGAAAUACUUGGAACACUCAACGAAUGAACAUUUGGGAUGAUGUGUAUACAAAUUGCUAAAUUGCUUUUUUAUUGCAAUAAAACCGAAUAUACAGUUAUACUUGUAACUGUAUGAGGCUUAAAUAUUUUGGGUCUAACUUUGGUCCCGACCACCAAUCGAUCCAAUAAGCAAGGUAAUAUUUUUUACUGAUUAUUUUGCUGUGUUCAAGGUAGUCGGCGGGUAUUAUUCCUCGUGGAACCUAAAAAAAUUCUUUGGUUACUUACUCAAUAGGUACUAUCUGAAUCGAAGUAUAAUUUGCGCUCUUUUCUUCUUUGAGUACAUUUUCUGAGCCUUUGUUUUGAAAGAGCUUUGAUAAUCGAAUUUCUUGA